GCUCUCGUUGCCCAGUUGGUUUGGGAGUCGUACUUAUAAGCAGUGUUUGAGUAUAUGCGAAGGUCGAGGGUUCGAUCCCUUCUGAGAGCA